AUUGAACGCUGGCGGCAUGAUUUACACAUGCAAGUCGAACGAUAACAGGCGGCAAGGUGCUGACGAGUGGCGAACGGGGGAGUAAUGCAACGGAGCGGGCCCAGUCCUGAUGGAAAAGUACUCGAAAGAGGAGCUAAUACCUAAUACGAGCUAUUGAAUAAAGCGGGGGACCUUAAUGGUGCACGCGAGUGGAGCUGCCGAUGUCAGAUUAGGUAGUUGGUGGGGUAAAGGCUCACCAAGCCAACGAUCUGUAGCUGGUCUGAGAGGACGAGCAGCCACACUGGGACUGAGACACGGCCCAGACUCCUACGGGAGGCAGCAGUGGGGAAUUUUCGACAAUGGGCGCAAGCCUGAUCCAGCAAUGCCGCGUGCAGGAAGAAGGCCUUCGGGUUGUAAACUGCUUUUGUACGGAACGAACCGGCUCUGGUUAAUACCCGGGGCUCAUGACGGUACCGAAACAAUAAGCCCCGGCUAACUACGUG
rnacentral:rRNA from 1 species